GAACACAGGAAAAGAGAGCAAGGGGCAGGGCUAUACCAAAUUUAUAUCCUCCCUAUGUCAGCACAUAAUGUGAGAAGGAACAUGGGAUGCUGGGAAUUGUAGUUCUAGGGUACAGAAGUUAAUUACACAGAAGGAAGGGCUUUCUGCCACAACUCUUGGCUUUUGCUACCUCAUUCUCACCCGCCCUGCACCUCUCCUUGUCCCUUUUAAUCCCUUCUGAUCUUUGUCUCCUUUCUCCCUCCAGGAGAAGCGGCCAAGGACGUGGUGGUCUCCCUGAAGGUGGCAGACAGGCAGCCUGGUGCCCGAGUGACAUGGUCUUGGUGCUUCCUAACGGUCCAUAGACUCGGCCACCACCGCUGGCACUGGGGAGAAGGAGGCCGCCAUCACCUUUGAGGAACAUGGGCGUCCAGUUGGGUUUCUGAGUCAGGUAAGGUUCUGGCUGAUCCUUCCCAUGUCUGAGGGGUGAAACGAAGGCACUGCGGGCAAAAGGGCCAGCUGGGCAGGGGGGACGGGGGACGGCGGCCACAGAGAAUUCUGGCCGCCACCCCCCCACCAUCCAAGGGCGACAUCCCGGGCUCCCAGCUUGAAUGGAGAGAGCU
rnacentral:lncRNA from 1 species